rnacentral:tRNA from 1 species
AGCAACAUGGCCCAAGGGAGAGAGCAUGGGCCUGGGAGUCAGUGGACCUGGGUUCUAAUCCCAGUUUUGCCA